rnacentral:rRNA from 1 species
UACACUCCUACGGGAGGCAGCAGUGGGGAAUAUUGGACAAUGGGCGCAAGCCUGAUCCAGCCAUGCCGCGUGAGUGAUGAAGGCCCUAGGGUUGUAAAGCUCUUUCACCGGUGAAGAUAAUGACGGUAACCGGAGAAGAAGCCCCGGCUAACUUCGUGCCAGCAGCCGCGGUAAUACGAAGGGGGCUAGCGUUGUUCGGAUUUACUGGGCGUAAAGCGCACGUAGGCGGACUAUUAAGUCAGGGGUGAAAUCCCGGGGCUCAACCCCGGAACUGCCUUUGAUACUGGUAGUCUUGAGUUCGAGAGAGGUGAGUGGAAUUCCGAGUGUAGAGGUGAAAUUCGUAGAUAUUCGGAGGAACACCAGUGGCGAAGGCGGCUCACUGGCUCGAUACUGACGCUGAGGUGCGAAAGCGUGGGGAGCAAACAGGAUUAGAAACCCUGGUAGUCCCAUGAU